ensembl:lncRNA
CCCGGGUGAACCUAAUGAGGUUCAACAUGGCAAAGUGCAGGGUUUUGCACUUGGGCCGGAGGAACCCCAGGCAUCUAUACAGACUGGAAGGAGCAGUCCUUGAGAGCAGCUCUGCAGAGAAGGACCUGGGGGUCCUGAUGGAUGACAAACUUAACAUGAGCCAGCAGUGUGCUCUUGCAGCUCGGAAAGCAAAUGGUAUCCUGGGCUCCAUCAUGAGAGGGGUAGCCAGCAGGGACAGGGAGGUGAUUGUCUCUCUCUGCUCUGGUCUUGUGAGGCCCCAUACGGAGUACUGUGUCCAGCUAUGGAGCCCCCCGUACAAGAAAGACAGAGAGCUGUUGGAGAGGGUCCAGAGGAGGGCCACGAAGAUGAUCAGGGGGAUGGAGCACCUCCCCUACGAGGACAGGCUGAGGGAGCUGGGCUUAUUGAGCCUGGAGAAGAGAAGGCUGCGGGGUGACCUCAUUGCAGCCUUUCAGUACCUGAAGGGAGCCUAUAAACAGGAAGGGAGUCAACUCUUUGAAAGGGUAGAUAACAGCAGGACAAGGAGGAACGGUUUUAAGUUGAAAGAGGGAAGAUUUAGGUUGGAUGUUAGGGGGAAGUUCUUUACCAGGAGAGUGGUGAGGUGCUGGAACGGGCUGCCCAGAGAGGUUGUGGAUGCCCCGUCCCUGGAGGUGUUCAAGGCCAGGUUGGAUGGGGCCCUGGGCAACCUGAUCUAGUAAAUGGGGAGGUUGGUGGCCCUGCCUGGCAGGGGGGUUGGAGAUUUAUGAUCCUUGAGGUCCCUUCCAACCGAGGCCAUUCUGUGAUUCUGUGAUCUUUGACAAGACAUGGUACGAGUAGCUCUUAGCCAGGCUCUCCACAUCCCAUCCAGCUUCCAUGCACAUGGCAAACAUACCCAAUCCAGGCAAGUAGCAGACUCAUCCCUGCUGCUUUCUUUGGCAAAAUGAAGCCAAACCUGUUCCAUACUCACCAUGGCUCUCCAUCUGGAGACAGCCCACCGCAUCAGCAAGCAGCAUCACUCUCAUGGUGUCUGUAUCAAUGGGGAAAGAUAGCACUGGCCAUAGUUUGAGCAAGUGCAACCUGAACAGAUCCUAGGGCACAUUCCCAGGGCACUUGAGGGACUCUGGGCAUGGCUACCUCACCUGGGGUCCUGGCAGAGAGGUCGGAGGUAGGCUCUGGUGACUGGACCCAUCUAAGGUACAGAAGCCCAGGUUUCUAAAGGAGCUCUGCGAAGGGGUAUACAAAAGGGGGAACCCAAGUCCUUAGGCAGCUGUGAAUUGCCGUCUUGAAUUUAGGCACCUAAGUGCUUUUUUGGACCUCAUCCCAAACACCUCAUUUAGUGAGCAUUGCAUUAGUUUUAACAACAGCCCAGACAGAGGAUAAGCAGCAACACAAAUGCUCCAAGCUGCUCUUUUACUGCAUCCUAGGAUGCAAAUAGAUGAUCACUGCAGAAACAGCUGUACUGGGUUAUGGUGUCAUUGCCUCGGGCUGUUUCCUUCAUCACUCCUACAUGGAAACACCCUUCAGCAGAGAUUUCCUCACUGGCCUUACUGCAACACCAUCAGCCCAGGGCACCCUGGAGAACUGCCACUGCCUUGUGUUAAAGAGGAUGAGUAGCUCCCACCACCCACCCCUCUGGCCUGGUCAAGGAGGAAGAUGGUUCCUGGCAGACAGAAGACAGCGUUGUAGAGUAGUGUUGUUUCUGAAGUAGUGGCUUGCUUCUUUCCAUAGAGUCACCACUUGUAAGGAACCAAUCUUGGCAACUCAUUCUUGAACCUCCCUUCUGAGGUGUGUCAAGUGGUUAUGUUAUUUGUGAUGCUACUCAUGAGCACGGAGUUCAUGCUGAAUAGAAGAGAGGCUUGUCUGGUAAAGACUGGAAAUAAACAACAAAGCCUGCCUUUUUCUCUUCAGGCAAGUGUACACUGACUUUGGAGGACACAUGGUCACAGGUGCGUGCUGCCUGCAGGGCACAACAAAAGACAGAGAUGAAGGAAGAAGACUCACUUCUAUUUCAAUUUUCUCCUUGGAGUGGAUGCAAUUCAGCUCCCCGAUGUUGUCUGCCCAACUCCAAGUUGCAUGUGCAUGGGAGUGCUUAAUCUCAUUUCAGGCAGGAGUUCACUCAGAGGCUGACUGGCUGCUUUUGUCUCAGAGCUUCCUGAGGACAAACAGCCUAAAACAGCCUGAACAAAGGAUCUCCUAGGUUCGGGUCUUUGCAGUAAUUUUAGGUGAAGUGAGAUCUCGUGAGGUCCCCCUUCUCUGGGCAGGGGGACAUGGGAUCCUCAGAGUGAGGACUUGUCUGUGGGGAUGACUGGGUUUGGGCAGUCUGGUGAUGGGAUUAAAGAGCGUGUGGUACAAACACAUCACAGCACGCAGCCUGCCUCCUGAUGGGAGUGUGACACUGUACUGCACUGCAGUGCCCCUAAACAUGGGGAAUGAAUCUUCAGCCAGGGAAAGAAAGGAUGUGAUAAAAUUAGGGUUCUACGGUGGUUGUUUCUGAUCCAAAGCAGAGAAAGUACAGCGUAAGUAUAGGUGUAAUUUUCACUGAUGAGCCUGAAAGCCCUCUGGUGAUUCAAGUGGGCUGUGUGUGUAGAGGAGGCAGCCUUGGACUUAAAUAGCCUAGUAAAAUGCAUAUGGAUGCCUUCUGAUUAAUCUGAAUGAGGUCUUGCCUAAUAAAAGCUUUUUAUUAUUCUUGUCCUUGGUUCCAUUUUCCCUCAGGUGUUGGAGAG